GGAGGGGCUGGGACCCCGAUGCCUGGGUCCUGCGAAUACAGGCGCCUUCACAAGGCUGAGCUGAGGAAGAAUUGAUGCUUUGUGCAAGGAUGUUCGGACUCCGCCAUUGAUGGGGGGCUGAGGGGGUGUUCAAUCAGGACGCAGGGAUGUACCACCUCCCUAGGGGAGGAAGUGGGAGAAGGAGGCAUGAUGCCACACACCUCCUGGGGAGCGGAUACGGAGGGGUGGCUGUGACCUUCCUGGAACCGUGACCUUGAGACUCCCUUGGGUAUUCGCUGACUCAGGACCCAGGAAGUGCUCCCCCACCCCACUUAGUUUCCGUGGAAACAUCCACCAGCUGUGUACUCUGGACCCCUGGCUCCUGGGUCCUGCAGGAGGAGGGGGCUGAAGGCCCAGAGUCCUGGGUUUGAGAGAGGAGAGGCUGGGGGCUGGGGACUUCUGGGAUUGAGGGAGGAGGAUGCUGAGAUUUCGGACUCAUUCCUGGUCCUGAUAAAAGAGGGUGCUAGGAGCCUGGAGGAGCCUAGGAGAGGAGGCGGUUGGGGCUGGUGUCCUGGGUCUGAGGGAGCAGAGUGCUGGAUUCUGGGUCUCUGCAUGUCACCUGCUCAGCCGCUCUUUCCCAAACCCUCCCAUCUCUUUUCCAGGCACCAUCCCCAUGACGACUCCAGGCUGUCAACACAGUUUAAAGGGCCAGUGCCCUCGUCCCCAAAGCUCAGCCCCUCUCUGCCCAGAAAGUCCCGCCUCACCACCCCCCAGCCCCGAAACAAAAGCUCCUGGGACAUUAAUAUUCCAGGCACAAACACUGUUGGUUACUGAGUCUUCAGGAGGGGGAGGGAAUAAGACAAAAACCCCCACCCUCACCCCAUGUGCACCCUCAAGCAGAGAGCAGGAGAUAAAUUUGGGGGCAUCCUCAUGGCUCUCCGGAGGUAUUGAGUGUCUGCCACCCAGUUGCCUGGGACCCCUGAGCCUCAUUCUCCACGUCUGUAAAAUGGGGGGCUAGCCCUGGGCCAGCCCUGAGGUGCAGGAUCCAUGGCUUGGCUUCAAAAUGUUUUUUUUAAAGUGCCAGAGUAAGCAGGCAGCCCGCUUUCCUGUGCAUGGGCAAGCUUCUGGAGGUUGUCAGCAUAGCAGUUCUGCAGAGGGGUCCCUGAGCUCAGGGCACCGGGCGGGCACUGGCUCUCUCCCCAUUUCACAGGCGGGGCACCUGAGGCUCAGAAAGGUUAAGCCACUGCCCAAGGUCACGCAGAUGGUCACCCAGGUGUUUAAGAUGAGAACAGUGAUGUCACAAAUUGUGGUGAGGCUGAAAUGGGAUCCUGCACUGGCCCUUUAAACACGUGCCAUUCAUUCAUUAAUCUCCAAACAUGUAUCCAGUGCCAGGCACACUUCUAGGCACGAAGGGCAGAGCGGUAAGCCCCAUGGUGUAUAUCCCUGCUUCAUGGAGAAUAGAUCUAGUGCUGGGGGACAAUAAAUACGUGAGCAAAUUAGUAAAAGAAUGUCAGUGAAAUUUCCACACAGGAAAUAAAACAGUGGUGAGGAAAUAGGAAGCGUUCUGGAGGCGAAGGGAUGGGGAGUGGGAGAAAGUCACUCUGAAGAGGUGUCCAUGUGACCAGAGACCCGAAUGAGAACAGGAGGCAGUCCUGGGAUGGUCAAGGGGAAAGAACAUUCCAGGCAAAGGGAGGAGCAGGUGAAAAGGCCCUGGGUGGUGACAAGUUCAGCGGGUUUGUAGGACGUCAAGGCGAGGGAGCUGGAGUGAAGUGAGGGUGAUUGGAACUGUAGCCAGAGCGGGGCCAGGGCACAUAGCACCUUGAAGGCCCAGGGAAGGAGUCUAGAUUUUAUUCUAACGGUCAUGGGCAGCUAAUGAAGGGUUGUAAGCAGAGAGGUGACUUGAUCUGUUUUACUUUUUUGGAAAAUCCAUCUAGCUGCUGUGUGGAGAACGGCCUGGUGGGAGGCAGGCAUGGAUGGAUGCAAGGAGGCCCACGCAUAGUUCUUAAAGGUACAAGUAAGAGCCCUGGCCAGUAAGGCUCGUUUGGGCAUCGUCCCAUGCACCAAAAAGUUGCUGGUUCGAUUCCUGGUCAGGGCAUAUGCCCAGGUUGCUGGUUCGAUCCCCUAUGGGGGCCAUGCAGAAGGUAGCCAGCUGCUGAUCAGUGUUUCGUUCUCACAUCCAUGUUUCUCUCUCUUUCCCUCUCCCUUCCUCUCUCUCUAAAAAGCCAUAAAAAAAUCUUUGGGGGUGCCCUAACUGGUUUGGCUCAGUGGAUAGCGCAUCGGCCUGCGGACUGAAAGGUCCCAGGUUCGAUUCCGGUCAAGGGCAUGUACCUUGGUUGCGGGCACAUCCCCAGUAGGAGGUGUGCAGGAGGCAGCUGAUCGAUGUUUCUCUCUCAUCGAUGUUUCUAACUCUCUAUCCCUCUCCCUUCCUCUCUGUAAAAAAUCAAUAAAAUAUAUUUUUAAAAAAAUCUUUGGGGGUAAAAAUGGUUCAAGUAAGAGAUAGUGUUGUUGGACUAGGGCAGGGGUGGGGAACGUCCAGCCCACAGGCCAUAUAAGGCCCAUGAAAUCAUUUGGUCUGGCCCUGCCAACGCAUUAGGGGUGAGUUCAUUAAAUGUUUGACCAAAUAUAGCAGGCUAAUUUUUAAGUUGAUAAUUUUGUAUAGCCCAUGAAUGAUGUUAUAAAUAUGCAAAUGGCCUUGGUGGGGGGAGGGAAGGUUCCCCACCCCUGGACUCGGGUUAUGGUAGAAGAGGUAGACAAAGGUGAAUGGAUAUGGGCUAUCUUUUGGAAGUAGAAUGGAUAGAUGUUGCUGAUGGAAAAGAUGUUAGAGGUGAAGGAAAGGGUAAGAACUUGCAUGAUUUCUAGGUCUUGGGCCUGAGCAGCCAGGUAGAUGGUGGUGACAUUUACUGAGAUUGAGGAAACGUGAAGAGGAAUACAUUUGGAUUGGGCGUGUGAAGCUUGAUAAUCCAGGAGGUACUAGAUAAACCACUCUUAGUGGCUUAAAAACACAAAGAAGUUCUACUAAACAUUAAAAAAAGUCCCGAAAUAGGCAUCCAGGGCUUUUACGGCAGCUCUGCAUCAUCACCGGAGGCCCAGGUACCUUUCAGCUCCUGGUUGCACCGUCCCUACUGCCCUCGUCCUCACGGGCCAGCAUGGCUGCCAGGACUCCAGGCAGCAGCACCCUAGUUCCAAGCAGCUCAAAGGUGACCUGGGGGACAAGGGUCUUGUCCCCCAUUUUAGGAAAUCCUCCCCAAAUUACCACAUGACGCUUUUCCUUACAUCCCAUUGGACAGAACUUGCACAUGGACUCACUUGGCUGCAAGAAAGCCUGGGAAAUGUAUCUUUCUGCUAGGCAUAGGGCAACCAUAAAAUACCAGCAGGGCUCCUUUGCUAAGGAGAAAGGGAAGCAUGAUGUCGGGGUAGCAAGCUAACUCUCUCUGCCGUCACCCCCUGGAAUUAAUCGUUUCCACCCUCAGCCCCCAGAUGAGGCUGCCUAUCCUUUUUACAGGGAAUGUAACAUGUUAGAUGGGAUGUUACAGUGAUUUGCGUCUACCUCCACAUAAAUCUUGAAAGGCCGUCCAGGACAGGGACCUUUUCUGACUCAUCUCUGGGCAUGCAGCCCUGGGAAACCUACCCACUGCCUAGGAAAUACUCGAAUGAAUGAAUGAGACAGACUGUGAGAGACAUGAAGCGAUAGUUAUCCAACAUUGAAAGGUAUAUAACCAGAUGUGAUCGUGCUUCUUCCCUGCUUCAAAACCUACACUGGCCUUCAGGAUAAAAGCUAAUCCCCUAGCGUGGCAUUUGAGGCCCUCCACCAGCACACCCCACAAUCCCUCACCAAAGCUGGACAUGCACCCAGACAGCCAGCAGUGGGUAGAGGUCUAGGAUACAGAAUCAGAGAGCUCUUGGAUGCAGGUCCUGGGUCUGCCACUCUUGGGCUAUGACCUUAAGCAAGUCAUUUUCUCUCUCUGGACUAAUUUUCUCAUCUAUAAAAUGGGAAUUGGGAGAAAACGUGAUUGAAAACGGGUGCCUACCUUAUUCAGAUAUUGUGAUGAUUAAAUGGAAAUUAUACAGGUAAUGUCCUUAGCACAGCAAGUGCCUAAUAAACAAUAGCUAUUGUGAUUGUUAGUUUGAAGAUGACAGUGACAAUGAUGAUGGUGAUGCUGAUGAUGAUUAAUCUCAGCUUUGAGCUUUCUUCCAGGCUGUUUUCUCUGCUGGAAUCACCCCCUUACUAAUCACCUACCUUGUUCCUCUGCUGUGUUAAUCAGAGUAGGUUAACUUCUGUAACAAACAGGCCUGAAAUCUCAGUGGCUUUGCAAAAAAAAGUGUAUUCCUCUCUCAUGUUACAGUUCUGUGCUGACAAGUCACAGGGGACAGUGAGUCAGGGCCCCAGGCUUCCAGCUUGCGAUCCUAUCCUCCUCUAGGCUCCCUGAAGUUCUCUCCAUUCAGCUAUUAAGAGAGCGUCGACUUAUGAAGUAGGAGGUCAUGGUUCGAUUCCCAGUCAGGGCAUAUGCCUGGGUUGUGGGCAUGAUCCCCAGUAGGUGGCGUGCAGGAGGCAGCUGAUCAGUGAUCAUUGGUGAUCAUUCUCUCUCAUCAUUGGUGUUUCUAUCUAUCUCUCUCCCUCUCUUUUCCUCUCUGAAAUCAAUAAAAAUACAGUGGGGCCUUGACUUACGUGUGUCCUAACGAGUUUUUCGAGAUACGAGCCAUCUCUCGGCCGAUUUUUUGCUUUGAGUUGCAAGCUACAAUUCGGGUUACGAGCCAGCUUCAGAUACCCCACCGCUAGUUGGCACAGCGAACGUCACAGUGAACGCCACAACAUCAGCCCAGCAUCACGUGUCUCACUCGUUCACUUUUUGAUUUGACAUACGAGUAAUUUGAGUUACGAGCUCCGUCACGGAACGAAUUAAACUCGUAAGUCAAGGCCCCACUGUAUAU